GGGGUGACACUGCCGAAAGUCUUCGCCUGGGUGGGGAUGAUGGAGCCGCAGAAUCCGAGCCAAGACGCCGUGUCUUACUUGGCCUCCUGGAAUAUGUGACUACAGUGAAGACUUACCUGCAAUCCCAGCCUCAUCCUGACUUGUCUGAGGCCUGUCUGGGCGGCUGGUCUGUGUGACUGUUGAAAAAUUGACCCAAACAUUAUUACCAUGCUUUGUGUAAAAACAACCACUGCAAAGCAUUAUUGUACUGUAACCAUCUAUUAGGUAUUGUUUAAACAAAUUAUUUAAGCUUAAGAGCUUCUAGCUUCAUGAUUUUGAGUUGAAUAUCCAAAUGUACAUGAUGUGGCACACAAUAAAUAUGUUACAUUUUUGAAUUUUGA